rnacentral:rRNA from 1 species
UACAGAGGUCUCAAGCGUUGUUCGGAUUCAUUGGGCGUAAAGGGCGUGUAGGCGGUUUGUUAAGUCAUGUGUGAAAUCCCUCGGCUCAACCGGGGAACGACGCAUGAAACUGACAGCUAGAGUACCAAAGAGGGGGGUGGAAUUCCCGGGUGUAGCGGUGAAAUGCGUAGAUAAUCGGGAGGAACACCUGUGGCGAAGGCGACCCCCUGGUUGGAUACUGACGCUGAGACGCGAAAGCGUGGGGAGCAAACAGGG